UACGUAGGGUGCAGGCGUUAAUCGGAAUUACUGGGCGUAAAGCGUGCGCAGGCGGUUUGCUAAGAGAGAUGUGAAAUCCCCGGGCUUAACCUGGGAACUGCGUUUCUAACUGGCAGGCUUGAGUGUGGCAGAGGGGGGUGGAAUUCCACGUGUAGCAGUGAAAUGCGUAGAGAUGUGGAGGAACACCGAUGGCGAAGGCAGCCCCCUGGGCUAACACUGACGCUCAGGCACGAAAGCGUGGGGAGCAAACAGG
rnacentral:rRNA from 1 species